GAGGUUAUAGCUCAGUGGUAGAGUGCACGCUUAGUACACAUGAGGUUGUGGGUUCAAUCCCUAGUACCUCCG
rnacentral:tRNA from 1 species